AGAAUCAUUCACAAUGGGGGAAACCCUGAUGGUGCGACGCCGCGUGGGGGAUGAAGGUCUUCGGAUUGUAAACCCCUUUCGGGAGGGAAGAUGGGAUGGGGUAACCCAUUCGGACGGUACCUCCAGCAGCAGCCACGGCUAACUUCGUGCCAGCAGCCGCGGUAAUACGAAGGUGGCAAGCGUUGUUCGGAUUUACUGGGCGUACAGGGAGCGUAGGCGGUUGGGUAAGCCCUCCGUGAAAUCUCCAGGCUUAACCUGGAAAGUGCAGAGGGGACUGCUCAGCUAGAGGAUGGGAGAGGAGCGCGGAAUUCCCGGUGUAGCGGUGAAAUGCGUAGAGAUCGGGAGGAAGGCCGGUGGCGAAGGCGGCGCUCUGGAACAUUUCUGACGCUGAGGCUCGAAAGCGUGGGGAGCAAA
rnacentral:rRNA from 1 species